GGAGCGAGCGUUAUCCGGAUUUAUUGGGUGUAAAGGGUGCGUAGGCGGCUUCUUAAGUCUGUAGUCUAAGCCCGGAGCUUAACUCCGGUUCGCUACAGAAACUGAUUAGCUUGAGUAUGGUAGAGGCAAGUGGAAUUUCUAGUGUAGCGGUUAAAUGCGUAGAUAUUAGAAGGAACACCAGUGGCGAAGGCGACUUGCUGGGCCAUCACUGACGCUGAGGCACGAAAGCAUGGGUAGCGAACA
rnacentral:rRNA from 1 species